rnacentral:lncRNA from 1 species
GCAGGACAGGGGUGUUCCCGAGCGGUGACCAGAGCAGAGCGCGGGGCAACACAAACACCCAGCCGCCGGCACCAGCUCCCACCGACGAGGCUGGCUCACUGGGCGGGCACCGCGGGGCCAAAACACACCCUCUGGGAAAUCCAGUUUCCUUCGCUGGGAUCUGUGUUCAUCGGGUCGUUUCUGGUCUUAAUUUGAUUUCGGAUGGUUUCCUCGCUGGAAGAGAAAGCCCUAAUGGGGCCCAGACCACGCAGUGAUUCAGUUUUCUUCUUCCCUUAGGAACCUCCAGUGUGUGCUGGCGUUGGGUGUUUGCUCCAAAUCAUCUUCUCUCUCAGGCCCAACUGCAUUUGCCCCCAGCAGGAGAGCAGUCCCCCUGAGCAAUGGAUUAAGCCAACAAACAUUUAUUAAGAGCCGGCUGUCUACU